rnacentral:rRNA from 1 species
GACGAACGCUGGCGGCGUGCUUAACACAUGCAAGUCGAGCGAAGCGGCGGAUGGGUGAGUAACGCGUGGGUAACCUGCCCUUAAGUCUGGGAUACCAUUUGGAAACAGAUGCUAAUACCGGAUACUAAAGGACGGACGUGCGUUGCAUUAGCUAUUUGGUAAGGUAACGGCUUACCAAGGCGAUGAUGCAUAGCCGAGUUGAGAGACUGAUCGGCCACAUUGGGACUGAGACACGGCCCAAACUCCUACGGGAGGCAGCAGUAGGGAAUCUUCCACAAUGGACGAAAGUCUGAUGGAGCAAAGCCGCGUGAGUGAAGAAGGUUUUCGGAUCGUAAAGCUCUGUUGUUGGUGAAGCGGUAUCUAACCAGAAAGCCACGGCUAACUACGUGCCAGCAGCCGCGGUAAUUC